CUGCAGUGAUGAUUCCUUGAACUCUCUCUUACCGAAUCAGCCUUUGAAGAAACUUCUUUACCAGAUUCUGAGUAGC
ensembl:snoRNA SNORD26 Small nucleolar RNA SNORD26